rnacentral:lncRNA from 1 species
CCCAGCAAAGUUAAAAAGUUCUUCAUUCUCUAUCUUCUUUGUUGUCCCCAUUCUUACAAAUUCACCUUGGGCAAUUUUAGAUACUAUCUUGAACUCAUCUUGGGUCACCUGGACCAGAUAGCUUGUAGACACAUCUGCUGGCUUCAACUGUUUUAGGAAUGUUCUACUUCGGCCUAGGAGAAAUUGCCUGACGGUUGAUGGAUGUGUCACACCAGUGUAAAUGCUACCUUCCUGGGAGACAUAAUAACAGCAAAGUUAAUGGAUGUCUAUCUUCAGAACUGUGGAUAUGCUACCUGGAAAAAUGAAAGGCAUUGUUGAUGACAGUUCUUUAAGUGGAGGAAGAACAAUGCAUGGCAUUGAUGCACUGACUGCUGAGUCUGGGAAGAUAUUGAAAAGUUGAGCUUUUAAGUGGGUCUUCCCCUUCCACCCAUAAGUGGAGCUACCAGAGGAAACAAAUAUUCACAAAAAACUAAAAAGGAAUUCAAGAUAAGGAAAAAACUCAUCCCGAUCAGCAGAUGAGGUCUUUACUGGCAAGCACGGGGAAGCUGGCUGCACCCUGUCUGACCUUGCAAAGGAGCUCCCUCUUUGUUCCAUGAAGAGACAUAUUUUUGUGCUGUUAAGACAAGGGUGGAAUACCCAGGAAGAAACCAUCAUAAGGGAAUGAAGAUAGGACUUUGUCCUCUGAAAUACUAUAAGAAUCAUGAGAAUGGCAAAAUGUAUCACCACCAUUGUGUGACACAUUGCUUCCUGGGAAAGUUGUGUUGAAAUUUUCAUGGACAGUCAGUCACUUUACCAUGUAGGACGGAAGCUGUGUUGUCAGAACCAUGCUUUCAACAAACUUGUGUGCUCAGAAAGAAUGCUGAGUCCCCCAAAAUAGGCAAGACACUCACAAACCCAAACAAAUCAACCAAACACAGAGACCAUUUCCCAGUUGUCAUAAUAACAAGGGUGAGAAUAAUCAUCAAGAAGGCAUAAAAUAGCAAAAAUCCUCUCCAGAUUAAAAACCAAAAUAAAUCAAACAUUUUUUUUUCA